UAUAUUUUAAUUUUUGUAAGAAAAACAUAAUCUGUUUUGUUAACAAAAAAGAAAGAAAAGACAAAGUAUCUUAGGAUUCUAUAUUUUUAAAUAUAUAAAUUGUCUUUUGUUUUUCCAAACUAUUUUCUUAUAGAUACGUCAUUGAAAUUCAAAAUUAAACUUAAAUUAGCAUAAAUUCGUUUUCUUUUAAAAAAUCCCUUUGUUAAUGAAAAAGAAAGAAAAUAUCAAAGGAAAAGACAAAUUGUAAUUUAAUCUUUAUAUAUAUGUGUGUGAAUUUGAAUUUAAAUUUGUAGGCAUAAGGAUAUGAAAUUUGCAAGAGAGCAACGUGUUGAAUUCAGUCAAAAUACAGAUUAAAAGAUUUUAUAUGGAGGCAAGACCUUACUUUUCAAAGGUCCUAGUAAGAUUUGUCCUGUGAAAACAGUUGAAAUUUAGUGAAUUGAAAAGGUGAUAAAUAUGCCAUGUAUUUGAAACAUAUCAUGAUUAUUUAUGUUAUAAGUUCAAAAUUUUUAUGUUGUUUUUAUUAUUUAUAAUUACUCGCUCCAUUCUAAAAUAAUUGAAUUGUUAGGAUAUGACACACCCUUUAAUUAAGAAAAAUGUCUAAGAGCAUAAUUUGUAGAAUACUUUUCACUUUUACCCUUUAAGUCUUAACCUAUAUAACCUAUUCUCCUAGGAAAUGUGAAGUAUUUUAGAGCUUCAUUAAAUGAAAGGAUAAAUAUGAAAAAAAGUUUCAACAAUUCUUUUAGGCUUUGAAAAAUUCACUUAUUUUGAACACCAAAAAAUACCUCAACAAUUUAAUUAUUCUGGAAUGGAGGGAGUAUUACAUUUAUCUUUUGUUAUAGAUGUAACUAAGGAAUUUAAAGUUUCUAUAUAUAAUGUAUACAAAUAUCUCAUAAAUAUAAA
rnacentral:lncRNA from 1 species